rnacentral:lncRNA from 10 species
CAGCAGUGUAUAAGUGCUCCUUUUUCUCUAUAACCUUGCCAGCAUCUAUUAUUUUUUGACUGUUUAAUAAUACCCAUUCUGACUGGUCUGAGAUGGUAUCUUGUUGUGGUUUUAAUUUUCAUUUCUCUAACGAUUAGUGAUGUCAAGCGCUUUUUCAUGUGCUUGUUGGUCAUGUGUAUGUCUUCUUUGGAAAACUAUCUGUUCAUGUCCUUUACUUACUUUUUUUUUUUUUUUUUUUUUUUUUUUUUUUUUGAGACGAGUCUUGCUCUGUCGCCCAGGCUGGAGUGAAGUGGCGUGAUCUUGACUCACUGCAAGCUCUGCCUCCUGGGUUCACGCCAUUCUCCUGCCUCAGCCUCCCAAGUAGCUGGGACUACAAGCGCCCGCCACCUACACCCGGCUAAUUUUUUGUAUUUUUUUUUUUUUUUUUUUUUUUUAGUAGAGACGGGGUUUCACCGUGUUAGCCAGGAUGGUCUCGAUUUCUUCACUUUGUGAUCCACCCGCCUCGGCCUCCCAAAGUGCUGGGAUUAUAGGUGUGAGCCACCGCUCCCGGCCGUCUUUUACUUACUUUUUAAUGAGACUGUUUGUUUUUUGCUUGAAUAUUUAAGUUUCUUAAAGAUGCUAGAUAUUAGACCUUUGUCAGAUGCAUCAAUUGCAAAUAUUUUCUCCCAUUCUGUAGGCUGCCUGUUUACUCUGUUGAUGGUUUCUUUUGCUGUGCAGAAUCUCUUUAGUUAAAUUAGAUCCCGUCUGUCAACUUUUGUUUUUGUUGCAAUGGCUUUUGGUGUCUUCAUCAUGAAGUCUUUGCCAGGGCCUAUGUCCAGAAUAGUAUUUUCUAGGUUAUCUUCCAGAGUUUUUACAGUUUUAGGUUUUACAUUUAGGCAUUUAAUCAAUCUUGAGUUGAUUUUUGUAUAUGGUGUAAUAAAGGGGUCGAGCUUCAAUUUUGUGCGUAUGCUACACAGUUAUCCCAGCACAUUAUUGAAUAGGUAACCCUUUCCCCAUUGCUUGUUUUUGUCAACUUUGCUGAAGACCAGAUGGUUGUAGGUGUGUGGCUUUAUUUCCCAGCUCUCAAUUCUGUUCCAUUGGUCAAUGUGUCUUAUUUUGAACCCACAUUUUCUCCCAAUAAUUAAUUGCCUUAUUUCCCCUCUGCACUUCAGCUUCCCUCUGUUUUAUCUUCCUCUUCAUCCUAAAAUAGUGUUCCAUCAUUUCAGCCAGAUUAUACACAAUAACAUCAAUUUUCAUAUUUCUUUAUUUAUCUGCCUCCCCAUUCCAGAGCUUGCUACGGAAAACCUAAACCUAGAUAUUAGUAUUACCAUAUAGAUGUAAUUGUCCAUUCCAAUGGGUUCUCAGUCAAGCCAGAAAAACUGUGUACUUUUCUUUGAUUACAUCCUCCUCUAAUUACUUUGGUUUAGAUGUUUUUCCAAAUUUUUGCCACUGUUCUAAAUAUUUACAUCCACUUCACUGUAAAUAUGAGCAUUUCUUUAUUGUUUUCAGAGAAAGGAGAAACCACCUUAUGGGAAUUUGUAUAAGAUUCCUGUACUGUAUUACCCUUCAGGCAAGAAUUUAUCUUUAUCUACUCAUAAUCCAUAUUGCUUCUUUCCAUACACAAGCUAUAACUUGUCUUCUUACCAACUCAAAGCCGUUUCUUUUACCUGUUCUCUAAACUCAAGGUCCUCUGUCACAAGAGUCACGUAGGAUAAGUAAACACAAAGUAGUUGUGGUAAACUUAUUAGAAACAAGUAUUUUCAUUUUGGGGAAUGAUUCUGGCUAGUCUCCAAAUCUGCAUGUGUUUAGUUGAGUACAAUAAUGUGGUAGGGAGAAUCCAUCUGCAGUUGUGCUAAAGGUCCAUUGUUGUCAGAGGGUAGAGUCGGGUAGGUAAUAUGUAAAAUAGCAAGCUCUCACUCUUUUUUACCCUCUCAGUAAUCUUCCUUGCUUCUUCAAAACCUUCAAUGACUAUAAAUGCCCUUUAAACCGGUUUCAAGCUUUUCAGUUUGGUGUUUGAUUCUAUGCAGCUUUAGUUGCUACUUACAUUUUUCCACUGCUAUUUCCUGAAUAUAUCUCCCAAAGCUCAUGUUUUGUGAACUUUAUGCUCAAUGAAACAGUUUGGUGGAGUGGGGCCUUUAAGAUGUGAUUAGGUCAUUAGGGCUCUGUCCUCAUGAAUAGAUUAAUCUGUUAUCCUGAAAGAUGAUUAGUUAUCAUGGGAGUGGGCUCCUGAUGACAGGACAUGUUCAGCCUUCUUGCUCUUCCUGCCUUGCACACUCACUAACCAUGUGAUGCCUUUCUAUUAUAGGGUAACAUAGCAAGAAGGUCCUCACAAGAUGUCAGCACCAUGCUCUUGGACUUCCCUACUUCUAGAACUGUGACCAAAUAAAACCCUAUUCUUUAUAAAUUACCUAGCUUUUGUUAUGCUGUUACAACAGCAGAAAAUGGAUUAAGACACCCACUCACAUAUAUUUUCUUCUUUGUCUUUUUAAUACUGUGAAACAGAAUUUUUUAGUUAAUUUAGUUAUUCUUAUAUUAGACUUUUCCAUUUAUGAAAGAAUGAGUUCUUACAAUGGACCUCUUUGAUACCAUUGACUUGAAUGUGUAAUAGGAAGAACUCUAAGGCUUCUGAAAUAAUCCAACUGUUUAUCUGCAAAACCACCUGCAGCCAGAAAGUGAGAUAACAAAAUCACUGAAGAAAUCAAAACAUGAGAGUUGAAUCACAAAACCUCACUUUAUCUUGAUGAUUUUCUAUGGAAGGUAUAUACCUCAGCACAUCGAUAAAAGGACAAUUUUGUGUACUAAAACAAAGGAGGUCAUUAUAAGGAUAUAAAAACCAAUGGUGUUAAAAGCAGCACUAAUGCUCAGCAGACUAAAACCAAGUAAUCCAGUGUAAUAAAAUGGUUAGGUUGGAGUCUUAAUAGAUUGUAAUUGUUAGGAGAAUAAAUCACAGCUAAAAUAUUUCUCUAUCUAUGAGAUAAGCAUUGGAAAUAAUUUUAAAAUUCAGAGACCUCAACACUAAAGGUAGAAAAUAUUUCCUUUCCUAUUAGAGUACUAAAAAAGAGUAACUGAAAUGAAUAUUACUAAACUAACAUUUUUUCUAUUUAAGUGUUUUGCUAUCACAAACUGAAAGAAAAAUUAACGUUUCAGAUUAUUUAGGAGAAUGAGCCAGGGAUUGCAAAUAUCUCACCUCAAAUAUCGUUUUUGUUUUUUGUUUUUUGUUUUUUUAUAUGUAACAAACCUGCACGUUGUGCACAUGUACCCUAGAAAUAUAUGAACAAAUAAAAGAAAUGAAAUAAUGCAUGCAAAACAUCUAGUAUAUAGUAAACUAACUCUUAUGUAAAUAUUAGCUAUUAUUUUAUUACAUAUAAAUAAAAAGGGCUAAGACAAUAUAAAUCUUGAUGUGUUCUCAAAUACAGCAUUUCUUUCUAAAAUGAUUUUUCUUCUGAAUGUCUGCUAAAAUUUCUGGAUUUCCUAUUGAAAUUCUCAGUUAAUCUACUGAAACAAUCUCAUUCAUGUACUGAAAGGACCCUUCCUCCAUACCACUGAUCCAGGAGAAACAGUCUGUAUCAAUUACCACUCUGUUCCUUCCAUGCCUGCACUUUGACCCUGGCAUGGCGUCUUGAUUUUUCCUUAGCAGGAACAAUAACAGCUUUGGUAUUCUGGUGUGAAUUAUUUAUAUGCUUGCUUCUAGUUUGGUUCCUCCAGCUUUUGUCCCACUCUCAGUGAAAAGAUCUAGUUGCAGACCUCAGAUCCCACAAAUUGAGAACAAUUUUCCUGUAAUUAUCUGUGUAUAGGGUGAUCUGGUUAUACUAUAAUGCUCAUGAUCUUAAAGGUUUCUGUGGCAAACAAAAUAUUGAGACUCUAUCUUUUGAAAAGUGGGAAAUAAUUUAAGAUGCUUUCACAGAGGAAUGAAACAGCUUUAACAAAUUCAGAUGAGUUGAAUGGACUAGAAGCAGGACUGCCC